rnacentral:rRNA from 1 species
GCCUAAUACAUGCAAGUCGAACGAGUUCUGAUUAUUGAAGGGUGCUUGCAUCUUGAUUUAAUUUUGAACGAGUGGCGGACGGGUGAGUAACACGUGGGUAACCUGCCCUUAAGUGGGGGAUAACAUUUGGAAACAGAUGCUAAUACCGCAUAAAUCCAAGAACCGCAUGGUUCUUGGCUGAAAGAUGGCGUAAGCUAUCGCUUUUGGAUGGACCCGCGGCGUAUUAGCUAGUUGGUGAGGUAACGGCUCACCAAGGCAAUGAUACGUAGCCGAACUGAGAGGUUGAUCGGCCACAUUGGGACUGAGACACGGCCCAAACUCCUACGGGAGGCAGCAGUAGGGAAUCUUCCACAAUGGACGCAAGUCUGAUGGAGCAACGCCGCGUGAGUGAAGAAGGCUUUCGGGUCGUAAAACUCUGUUGUUGGAGAAGAAUGGUCGGCAGAGUAACUGUUGCCGGCGUGACGGUAUCCAACCAGAAAGCCACGGCUAACUACGUGCCAGCAGCCGCGGUAAUACGUAGGUGGCAAGCGUUAUCCGGAUUUAUUGGGCGUAAAGCGAGCGCAGGCGGUUUUUUAAGUCUGAUGUGAAAGCCCUCGGCUUAACCGAGGAAGUGCAUCGGAAACUGGGAAACUUGAGUGCAGAAGAGGACAGUGGAACUCCAUGUGUAGCGGUGAAAUGCGUAGAUAUAUGGAAGAACACCAGUGGCGAAGGCGGCUGUCUGGU